rnacentral:rRNA from 1 species
GAUGAACGCUGGCGGCGUGCCUAAUACAUGCAAGUCGAGCGAACAGACGAGGAGCUUGCUCCUCUGACGUUAGCGGCGGACGGGUGAGUAACACGUGCAUAACCUACCUAUAAGACUGGGAUAACUUCGGGAAACCGGAGCUAAUACCGGAUAAUAUAUUGAACCGCAUGGUUCAAUAGUGAAAGACGGUUUUGCUGUCACUUAUAGAUGGAUCCGCGCCGCAUUAGCUAGUUGGUAAGGUAACGGCUUACCAAGGCGACGAUGCGUAGCCGACCUGAGAGGGUGAUCGGCCACACUGGAACUGAGACACGGUCCAGACUCCUACGGGAGGCAGCAGUAGGGAAUCUUCCGCAAUGGGCGAAAGCCUGACGGAGCAACGCCGCGUGAGUGAUGAAGGUCUUCGGAUCGUAAAACUCUGUUAUUAGGGAAGAACAAAUGUGUAAGUAACUAUGCACGUCUUGACGGUACCUAAUCAGAAAGCCACGGCUAACUACGUG